rnacentral:rRNA from 1 species
CCUACGGGAGGCUGCAGUGAGGAAUAUUGGUCAAUGGACGCUAGUCUGAACCAGCCAAGUAGCGUGAAGGAUGACUGCCCUAUGGGUUGUAAACUUCUUUUAUAAGGGAAUAAAACGCAGCACGUAUACCGUUUUGCAUGUACUUUAUGAAUAAGGAUCGGCUAACUCCGUGCCAGCAGCCGCGGUAAUACGGAGGAUCCGAGCGUUAUCCGGAUUUAUUGGGUUUAAAGGGAGCGUAGAUGGGUUGUUAAGUCAGUUGUGAAAGUUUGCGGCUCAACCGUAAAAUUGCAAUUGAUACUGGCAGUCUUGAGUACAGUUGAGGUAAGCGGAAUUCGUGGUGUAGCGGUGAAAUGCUUAGAUAUCACGAAGAACUCCGAUUGCGAAGGCAGCUUACUAAACUGUGACUGACACUGAUGCUCGAAAGUGUGGGUAUCAAACAGGAUUAGAUACCCGUGUAGUC